rnacentral:lncRNA from 1 species
AGUCUGCAACAUUCCAAAUUUUCUUAAAUUAGCUCUAUAUAUGCAAAUCUCUGAAUAAAGCACACACAUUUUUUGUUAUUCCAAAUUAUCUCAUGCAUUACAAUUUUAUAUCAUUGUCCUUAUAUCACCUGGCCCCCAAACCUGGAAUUAAAAAUCUCUCAUCCACAUGACCCAAAGAAGCGAAUUUACAGAAAAAAUGAUAAAUAAAAGGGAUCUGCUAGAAGACACCUGGCCGGGGUUGAAGGAUUGGACAUAAGAGGGCCUGUCGUGCUUGGUCAUAUGGCCGCGUAAGUAAGGAUCGCAGGACAAGUAUAGGUUCUUGACGACAAGGCCAGUCGACCCUUGUGGAAGCUUGAGUUUGGCUGUGGACGUCCUCAAUUCCAUGUCGGAUUCUUUGGGGAACCCGGUCACAUAGUCUUUGAAUAUCACCUGCUUGUUACUCACUUCCACUCCGUCACUCGCCAUUUUCAGCUUCUCUCUCCUCUCUGUGUCUCUCUACAACCGUAACUGAAGAAGAUGAGGGCGAUACGAGCAAUAUAUGCCAGGAAAUAUAGUAAUCACUGUAAUUUCUUACCUUACUAUGAUGUCACAGCCCAGCUCUCUCUGGAAUUUUCUGUUUAGAAUCAAAACAAAUUUCUUGGACAAUAAAUUUCACAUUUUUGUCACGUUUGGUUUCUUCAAUGCCGCUGACAGCAUUGGCGGAGCCAAUGAAGGACCGGUGAGGGCCUGUGCACAAGGACCGGUGAGGGCCUGUGCGCCUAGAGAAAUAUUGAAUUUCAUUGGUUAAUCUUCUUUGUGCCUCUGGAUAAAUAUUGAAUUUCAUUGGCUAAUCUUCUUUGUGCCCCCACAACAAUUCAUCUUCUUCUACUUCGAUUGGGAUUAUGCCUAGUUUCUCUUCUAUAGUUCUAUUUCUUGUAUUUGGGCUUUAGCUUUUUAGACUGGGUUUUUGGAAUGUGUCUCUUAAUUUCCACAAAAAAGCUAGACUAAGACAAAAGUCAUUAUUAAUUUGAAUUAAUGGGAUAUUUUUAACCUGAAGAAUGAACACUGUGGUCAUGGUAUGUAUGAACGUUAAGUUUUGGUUGGGAGCUGUGUAGAUUAUGUAGACAAAUUCUGGGUUUGCAAACUUCAAUUUUUGUACACACAAGUUACAGAGAGGAUUCAAAGCACCAAGGUGCACUUAAACCAAGAUGAAUAGACCGUUGGAUUACAUUUAUCUUAUUAUUUAAUAUUUAAAUAAAAAGUUAAGUAGAAAUAUCAACGGUUAAGAUUUUCUAAUAAAUACUUGGUUCACUUGUACCUUGGUAUAUGCAAGAAUUUUCGCACAAGUUAGCCACAGGUAAUGCUUAUAGUUGUGCGUAUAUAUAUAUAUAUAUUAGUAUAAUUUAGCGGUAAGAAAUUUUUGUGCCCCCAUUGAUAUAUUUUUCUGGCUCCGUCACUGGUUGACAGUACGACGUCCCUGCUUACGUCAACAGUUCAUUGCUGUCCUCUUGCACUAUGUUGUUACCAUUUCUGGGGUACAAGUUUCAUUUUUUUACUUGUAAAUUGCAAUUCAAUACAAACACAAGGAUGGUUUGGAGGACAGGUUGGUUUGGAGGACAGCAAAGGAUGGAACUCAAUAGUUUUGUGGAAAUACAUGCAUGGAAAACUACAACCUGAUGAUAUUCGACAACCUCGUGGCUACCAUUUGUCUUCAAUCUGCUUCCUCUGUCAUAAUAAUGUUGAGACUGCAGAGCACCUCUUCUUGCAUUGUUAUUUUGCAACUAAUAUCUGGGAAAAUCUUUUGGAUUUGUUUCAGGUUCGGGGUAUUUUCAAUGAUAUUAUUUCUUUCUUUACCUACCCUAUAUGUCAUGUUUAUAGCUCUCAGUUAACUCUGCUAUGGUGGGGAAUGAUUGGUGCUGGUUUUUAUGCUAUUUGACAUGUAAGGAAUGCUCUUCGUUUUCAAGAGUCAAUCAUAUUUUCAGGUUCCUUACUCCAUUCUAUUAAGAUGCAACUUCAUGAGAUUAAUCUUUUGAGUAAGGGCACAAUGAAGAAUACUGUAGACGAGCUUUGCAUUUUGCAUUGCAUUGGUAUUAGGGGCAGGCCAUCUAAAGCGCCAAAAAUUGUUGAAGUUAUGUGGCAUGUUCCCUUUAUUUAUUAAGUCAAGCUCAACACUGAUGGUGCGGCUCGUUGCUCUCCUGGUGUGGCAUUUUUCGAGAUCAUUUGGGUCGGGUUUUAGGUUGUUUUUCAAGAAAUCUUGGUUUUGCUACUGUAUUAGAAGCCGAGCUGCAAGCUGUCAUUCACGCCAUUCAAAUGGCUGCACAAAGAGGUUGGCUUUCUAGUUGGAUUGAAUUGAAAGUGAUUCUACUUUAGUGAUUCAUUUUCUUUCUUCAUUUCAAGUUGAUGUACCUUGGCGUUUCACUACUGAAUGGUUUAACUGUCGAGCUAUUCUUGCUACUAUGACUAUUAAUUAAAGUAUCUCAUAUUUAUCAGGGGGAUAACAGUGUUGCGAACUGCUUAGCUAAUUUUGGUGCGGAUAAUGCGGGAGUUUAUUGGUGGGAUUCAUGUCCAUCUUGUGCAAUUACAGCUUAUUCACGUGAUUUAGCAAGUAUUCCCAACUAUCGUUUUAGUUUGUGAUCUUUUAUUGGUCUUUUAAUUUGUAACUCUUCUUCUUUUUUCCGGAAGGGGUCUUGGUCUAUGUCUUUUUCUUUUUUUUUCUUUUUUUAUGAGGGGAGGAAAUUACAAGGAGAAGCCUCUACAACAACCUAUACUAAAACGAUCAAAAUUAAAGGCAUUAAGUGUGGAGAGCGAGAGCUUGCGAUUCCAGAGAGUUGGAUUUGGGACUGAUGCCCCAAGCUAGCCAUUGCAUUGGUCACAAAAUUUGCUUCCCGAGAGACAUACUUGAAGGUGAUCUCUUCAAACUUGGAAGCCAUCCAGCCAACAUCACUAAAAAGAGUACGGAGUCUCCAAAGAGAAAGGGGGGGGGGACCUGUUGUUAAUAAGGUCAAUAAUAAGCUUAGAAUCACCCUCAACUUGGACACGCCGGAUGUCGUUGCAAAGCGCAUGGAACAGACUGUCUCGAAGAGUACUACAAUAUUCAGCAAUAAGAACAUUGGAGUUACCCACACAACGAGAGCCAGCUAAAAUUGGAUUGCCCUCAUGGUUUCUGAUUACAAACCCAGCAUCAGCCUUCUUGUUGUGGCAGACGGAACCAUCAAAGUUGAGCUUGACAAGAUUACAUGGAGGCGGGAGCCAUUUGAUGGAGGAACUUGCUGGAAUGGCAAAUCCAUUGGAGUUGGUCUUGUGGCCUCUAGUAGUCGGAUUAUGGCUUAUGUAAUCAUUACUAGAAGAAGCAACAACAUGCACAACAACAAAGUUGGGGUUGGGCGUGCAUCCUCUAAAAAUAUAAUUGUUUCAGGCCUCCCAUAAUUUCCAGCAAAGGAGAAUGCAGUUUUCAGCUGUUUCUUUAUCUUUUUCCUUCCUGAACAGGGAAAGAAACCAGUCAUAGAAAGAUGAAUAAUCAAAAGCAUUAGUACCAAUCAUAUUCCAAAUACUCAUAGCAAAAGGGCAGGAGAAGAAGAGGUGGUUUAAAUCCUCCUCCCCAUUGCUACAGAGAGUACAAGAAGAGCUAAUAGUGUUUGAGUAACGAGCUAAUCUAGCCCUUGUUUUCAGCGUCUCUCUAGCCAGGAGCCAAGCAAAAAUUUUUGCUCUGGGAGGGAUAUUCAACUUCCAGAUGGCGGUUUUGGUCUAUGUCCCCCACUCCUUUUCUGUACUCUUUUGUUUCUCUUUUUUCAAUAAAUAACUGAAACCGAGCGUAUGGCUGAGCCUCCCAACUUGGCUGGGAUCCAAACCCUUAAAAAAAAAAUACAAACACAAGGUACAGAAAUCCUUGGAGGCACAGCUUCUUCACCAGAUCAAGAUGACAGUAACUACAAUUUAAGCAGAUCGAACAGGAAACAUGUAGCCAUCUUUCAUGUAUGAAAGGUCCAAAUACUAAACUCUACUUGUGUCCCUCAGACUACAUUUAUUUAUCUUGCCGAAAUGUAAAAUUUGAAGUUUCAGUUUCUCAUGAGUUUCAUUGAGAUAAAUCCAUUGAUGUAGCUAGUCAUUCAUUCUCAGGAAACAACAAGCACCUGCUUUCCUACAUUGCGGCCAGCAAAGAGGCCAAGCAAAGCCGAUGGAGCAUUCUCCAGGCCUUCAACAACAUCUUCAACGUAUGCUUGCCUUCUUUUAUGUAAGGCAGAACGAAUUCGAGAAACUUGCCGUAGAUAGGAAAGUAUUUUGCAACCAGGCAGUUUUAUUUGAUGUCCAAGCAGAUCUUAGCAACUUUGCUUCCAAGCAGAGAAGCCAAGUCCAUUUCGGAUACACUUCAUUCCAGUUAUGGGCUCACGCUUCACCCGACGACGACGUUGGUGCUUACAUCAUCCACCUCUACUUACUUACGAGGCCCAACCCAACCUAACCCUACCCUACCAAACCCAGCCCAGCAUCCCCAGCUGUAUCUGAGGCAUUCACCAGCCAACUUACACAUGCCCAAUAUGCCCCAACAACAAAAACAAAAAGAACUUUGCAGCAGAACACAAGAGUUUGAUUCCAUUGUCUUAUGUUCUAUCAAUCUCCUAGUAUUAGUGGUAUUCUUCAUUUUCUUUUCAGCAACUACUGUGUUGGUUGCAUUAUGCGUUAUUCUUUUGGAAGUUUUUUAAUUGUUUUAAUUUUAUAUGUCUUAAAUCUUCCAUAUAACUAGAUCUACGUCUCUUACAAAAGUCGUUUUAUACCUACAAGAAUGUUGUCAUUUCAAAAACUGGAGGAUGCAUAAGUGCAUUCAUAUCUUCUUCUCAAUAUUAUAUCACACACUGCCUUUCUCUUCAUACUUGAUAAUAGUAUAAAACUAUUGUGAAAAUCAUGCUACAUUUAUUAGGAUGAGACAGCUCUCAGGAUGAGACAGCUCUCCUCAACACAAAAUGCAAUAUCCAAAGCAAGCUAACCAUAUACCUGAUACAAAGUUCAUUACAUACACCAAGGUGCACUGCAGAUGGGCUUAAACAACUUAACAUAAAAACAAAUGUCUCGGACUUCAGAAGUACAGAUGGAGCCGGAUUAGUAAUCACUCCCUGGAAACUACAACAACCUGCUUUCCCACGUUGCGGCCAGCAAAGAGCCCAAUUAGAGCUGCAGGAGCGUUCUCAAGGCCCUCAACUACAUCUUCCACAUAUGUAAUCUUCCCUUCUUUUAUGGCAGGCAACACUGUUUCAAGAAACUUUCCAUACAGAUGAUAGUAACUGAACACCAGGAAACCUUCCAUGCGGACCUGCUUAACAAUCAAAGACAUCAAAUUAUGUAUGCCUUCAGGCUUCUCCAAGUUGUACUGAGAUAUCAUCCCACACACUGCUAUUCGCCCUUUCAGCCUCAUGUUUGGUAGCACUGCAUCAAGCAUCUUUCCCCCCACAUUCUCAAAGUAAAUGUCAAUACCAUCAGGAAAAUACCUGCAGGUUAGCCAAAAACAACUGUAAACAAGAUGUAUAUUCCCAAAAUGAGGUACACAUGCGCAGCAUGAGACCAGACACUUUGUUUUCCCCUUGUGUUUCUAGAUUGAAUUCAGACUCUUAUUAAUGCCUGUGGAGGGUUUGUAUCUCCAAAUCCAAUAUUGGAAAAACUAACCAGUCUAGUGUCACUAUAAUUAGAAUAAACAAAGAUCCUAGACUAAGUCAAAGCAUUAAGCAUAUUUUGGAUUCCGACUGCUAAGAGAUAUAUUACAUUCUCACCUUCUUAAAGCUGCAUCCAGGUCAGGUUCGUCUUUAUAGUUGAAAGCCUCAUCAAAUCCGAAUUUGUUCUUCAGCAGAUCAACCUGAGAUCCCAGAAAUUGUAUAUCCCCAUAUUAACACAGUAGAUAAAGGGGUACGAAGUAUUUUGAAUAUCAGGAUAUUCAGAUAUAGAAUGACACCAUACAGGUCAUCAGGUUCACAGUUUAUGUAGUAUAUUACAGUAUUAUAGGCAUAUCAGAUGAGACGAAAAAAACAGUAGAACUGCUUUAGAUUGAGUGCAGCAGCUACAAGAAUAAGACUAAAUUGAUACUAACACUCUUCUAUUUGUAUGUAGGUAAUUGGUCACCAUAAUAGUACUUCCCAAUAAUGUCUCCAUCUUUGAAUUCCAAGAAUUUGGUACACAUCACUCGGAGACAAUUUUUAAAAGACAUCACUAUAGACAUACACAUUUAACAUAUAUAAUCAUACAAUUGAGUCAAAGAUAUGGAAUCCCAACUAAAACAUUCACUGAUCUACGAGUACCAGUAACUAACCUUUUCCUUGCUUCCAGCACUCCCAACAACAUAGCAACCUGUCAACUUUGCAAAUUGGCCAACAAGCUGACCUACUGCUCCAGAUGCGGCUGAAAUGUAGACAGUCUCUCCUUUCUUAGGAGAGCAAACCUCAAAAAACCCAGCAUAAGCAGUCAUUCCAGGCAUACCUACAUAACAUAUGAAUACGUCAGAUGAGCCCAAACAACCAGUAGACUCCAACAAGAGAUCUCAUGAGGGAACAAUAAACAAUAUGCACAAAAAAAAUAUUGACACAAGCUGUCAACUUGUGACUAUAGCAUGAAACUUUUAUGUUCUCUGCUCAUACAUGAAAAGGAGCUAAUACAACCAGCUGCACAAAAAACUAUUGCCCCAACUUAACUCAAGGGUUUGGCCCUCAAGAGCUGCAAGGUAACUAAUUGUGGCUAAUCAAAUUAGCACAUUAGACUAAAGACUACGGAGGUCUGUAAGUAACACAAACCAGUUUGUUAGUUACAAACAAGUAGAAAGCAAGAGAAGUAGGCAAUACCGAGAAGUCCAGUAUAGUAAGAGAGAGGCACAUCAGUGUGGUGAAUUUUAAACAGAGACUCUGUGGCAGUGAUGACACUAUAUUCUUCCCAGCCAGUAUGACCCCAAACCAAGUCGCCUGGCUUAAACUUUGGAUCCCCAGAUUCCAGGACUUUAGCCACUCCAUAACCAGUUACAGUCUGCAACAUGGAAUUCCAAAUUUUCUUUAGUUUGCUCUAUAUAUGCAAAUCUCUGAAUAAAGCACACACAUUUUUUUUUAUUCCAAAUUAUCUCAUGCAUUACAAUUUUAUAUCAUUGUCCUUAUAUCACCUGGCCCCCGAACCUGGAAUUAAAAAUCUCUCAUCCACAUGACCCAAAGAAGUGAAUUUACAGAAAAAAUGAUAAAUAAAAAGGGAUCUGCUAGAAGACACCUGGCCGGGGUUGAAGGAUUGGACAUAAGAGGGCCUCUCGUGUUUGGUCAUACGGCCGCGCAUGUAAGGAUCGCAGGACAAGUAUAGGUUCUUGACCACAAGGCCAGUCGACCCUUGUGGAAGCUUGAGUUUGGCUGUGGAUGUCCUCAAUUCCAUGUCGGAUUCUUUGGGGAACCCGGUGACAUAGUCUUUGAAUAUCACCUGCUUGUUACUCACUUCCACUCCGUCACUCGCCAUUUUCAGCUUCUCUCUUUUCUCUGUGUGUCUCUACAACCGUAACUGAAGAAGAUGAGGGCGAUACGAGCAAUAUAUGCCACGAAAUAUAGUAAUUACUGUAAUUUCUUACCUUACUAUGA